GAUGAAGAACGUAGCGAAAUGCGAUAAGUAAUGUGAAUUGCAGAAUUCAGUGAAUCAUCGAAUCUUUGAACGCAUCUUGCGCUCCUUGGUAUUCCUUGGAGCAUGCCUGUUUGAGUAUCAUGAGCAAAUCUCAAAGUCAAUUCCUUUUGUUAAUGCAAUUGGUUUUGCUUUGGACUUGGAGGUCUUGCAGAUUUCACAGUCUGCUCCUCUUAAAUGCAUUAGCUGGAUCUCAGUAAUUAUGCUUGGUUCCACUCGGCGUGAUAAGUAUCACUCGCUGAGGACACUGUUAAAAAGGUGGCCAGGAAAAUACUGAUUGAACCGCUUCUAACGGUCUAUUAAGUUAGACAAUUGACCCUUAAGUUUGAUCUCAAAUCAGGUAGGACUACCCGCUGAACUUAAGCAUAUCAAUAAGCGGAGGA
rnacentral:misc_RNA from 1 species